rnacentral:rRNA from 1 species
UACGUAGGGUGCAAGCGUUGUCCGGAAUUAUUGGGCGUAAAGAGCGUGUAGGCGGCCCGAUUAGUCCGCUGUGAAAGUCCAGGGCUCAACCCUGGAAUGCCGGUGGAUACUGUCGGGCUAGAGUCCGGAAGGGGCGAGUGGAAUUCCUGGUGUAGCGGUGAAAUGCGCAGAUAUCAGGAGGAACACCGGUGGCGAAGGCGGUUCUCUGGGCCUGUACUGACGCUGAGGAGCGAAAGCGUGGGGAGCGAACAGG